GAUGAACGCUGGCGGCGUGCCUAAUACAUGCAAGUCGAGCGAACAGAUGAGGAGCUUGCUCCUUUGACGUUAGCGGCGGACGGGUGAGUAACACGUGGAUAACCUACCUAUAAGACUGGGAUAACUUCGGGAAACCGGAGCUAAUACCGGAUAAUAUAUUGAACCGCAUGGUUCAAUAGUGAAAGACGGUUUUGCUGUCACUUAUAGAUGGAUCCGCGCCGCAUUAGCUAGUUGGUAAGGUAACGGCUUACCAAGGCAACGAUGCGUAGCCGACCUGAGAGGGUGAUCGGCCACACUGGAACUGAGACACGGUCCAGACUCCUACGGGAGGCAGCAGUAGGGAAUCUUCCGCAAUGGGCGAAAGCCUGACGGAGCAACGCCGCGUGAGUGAUGAAGGUCUUCGGAUCGUAAAACUCUGUUAUUAGGGAAGAACAAAUGUGUAAGUAACUAUGCACGUCUUGACGGUACCUAAUCAGAAAGCCACGGCUAACUACGUG
rnacentral:rRNA from 1 species